GGAGAGGUGGCCGAGUGGUUUAAGGCGGCGGUCUCGAAAACCGCUGUAGGGUAACCCCCUACCGUGGGUUCGAAUCCCACCCUCUCCGCCA
rnacentral:tRNA from 1 species